rnacentral:tRNA from 1 species
UUCGGCAUAGCUCAAUGGUAGAGCAACAUUGUGCGGUGUAGAUAUGUGGUUCGAUUCCCAUUGCCGAAA